UUUUUUGCUUCAUCCUUUUAUCAAUUAGUUUAGGUUCAGGUUUAGGUUUAGUUUCUAUAUAUAAAUAAUUUUAUUGUGUCCACAACAUGCACUGCAACACAUCUACAAGCCAAUAUUUCUAGAUGUAAAUUUCAUUUUUUUUUCUCAUGAGUUGAAGCUUUGCUCUUAUUAGUCUGUUAGAGUCUUUAAAAUAAGAUGUUUCACAUCCCACAAAAUAAUCUAGAUUUAUGGUUCUACUUAGUCCAGUUUGGUGCCGAAUAAGUUUUAAGUUGAACCAUGCAUCGAAAUUAUUAACUUUCUUUGUUUUCAAAUAUCAUGGUUUGUCAAAGUUGAGAAAUUGAUGUGUUACUACUUUAAUUCAUCUCAAGCUUUUAUAUCUUUAUCAUAAGAAUAUAUGAUUAGGGGGUCAUUACGAAUCCAGUUUGAAUCAAUCUAGUCUACAUGUUUACUCAUCACAAUCAUUUGUACGAGAGCAAAAAUUGACGAUGAAGUCGGAAAGCCCUGCUACCGACCAUUCGUUAUAAUUAAAUUAAUUUACCUUUUGAAGCCAAUUGAAUUGGGUUGGGGAGGUUUAAAACCCAUUAGGUGCAUAUUUGGAUUGGGAAAAUAGGGACGACUUAUAAAUGCCGUAAAGGCGCGAGAAAUGUGCCUAAAUUUGUGGUGAGGCCGAAAAGUACUACUAUCGGUAAGCCACACGUCAGUAAAUAAUUUCAAAAUAAAUUAAAAGCGGGAGGCAAACAACUUUUAGGUUGACAAAUAUUGUAAAUCCUAAAAAAAAA
rnacentral:lncRNA from 1 species